rnacentral:lncRNA from 1 species
AAAAUGAAAAGUGAGCCUUUUUAUUGUAUUAUCAAUUUCACUUCUUAACAACAAUUCCACAAAAUAUUAAACACUGGGCAAGAAAUUGGUCUAUGGCACACCAGAAAUAAAAAUCAAAGAGAUCCAAAAAUGCAGACGUUAUGAGGAGCCUACAUUACAGACACCAAUUACUUCCUAAAUACAGUCUUUACAAACCUUGAUUUGUGUUUGGCAACAAGAUCAGAGUUUGGCAAAUAAUACUACUAAUUAUAAUAGGCCAGAGAGAAGAAAUUAAGAGCGCAAAAGUAUCAGACACGUGGCUUCUGUUCAAUGAAGUAAAUACAUUAGUUUGACUUUGUUAAAGUUGACUUUUUAAGUACUCGGAGGAAGGGGAAUUGGCUCCAGGCUCCGGAGGCUCCGGCACUGAGCCAUCAGCCGGUGUCAUGCGGGUGCCAGGCGUCUCCCAGCCAUCCCUGUGCCGGGAGCCCCCGGCCCUGUCCCCAGGUUACUAAGGGACUCCAAGCAGAUGCUCCCUGUCCCCCACUCCCAUCUCCAGCCGCGCUUUGGACCUAAACCUGUUGCCUCACCCCUCACUGGCCACCCCACCGCCAGUGUGACUCAGGCAAGACCCCAGGGAUGAGCGUGAUGGCCCAUGCGGGUGGGAGGACAAGGGGUAGACCCUGCUUCACUGGGCUGCGGCAGCAUCCCGCAGCAAGCCCCCCCAUGGGCCUGAGCUGCCCCAUCACCAUCCUGGGCACCGUGGAGGGCAGGGUGCAGGCAGGGGGUGCCGGGAAGCCCCCUCGGCAGCAUGAGACAGUGAUGGAUGGGGGGGACAACAGUCCCUGCCCAGGUCUCAAGCGGAGGAGCGGUGUAUGGCUCCUGCGGUAACCUCAGUCACUUGCUGCCGCACAGAGCGCAGGUAUUUCUGGCUGACCUGCAGCUCGGGCACUUGCCUGGGUCACCGGCUAUAGCACCAUGCACAGGUCUCUAACAUAGAGGAAGAAUCAGCAAUCUGGAGUAGAAAAAUAAGGCUGGAACUGUACUAGAUUAAGGACAGAGGAAGUUCCCUCAUGGAGAAGAGAAAGCCCUGCUGCGGCAAAACCCAGGCGCACCUCAGGACUGUGCUCGCUCCCCGCUACAGAUGCGGCAUUUGAGAGCUUAUGUUGGAUGAAAGAUUUAAAAGAAAAAUAAACAACAAAACCAAAAAGACAUCGCCUGUUGCUGUGCCAGGGCUGCUGCCCUUGGCUGCCAGACGAUGCUCAGCGUGGUGUCAGGCUGGGGUGCAAGUAGGGCUUGGGGGACAUGCUCAGCUGCAGAGGGAAAUAAAUCCACUUCCCUCUGCUCUGCCUCCCCCCAGCACUCACACAGGGACAGAGUGAAAUCCAGGGGAUCACAAGCAACCUGUCACAAGGCUGGUGCCAGGACAGGAGCCCAUGGCACAGCGGGGUGGGGGGAGACAGGAGGUGUAAAACGCUCAGAUCAGCAAAGGACCCCAGGAAAGCAGUUGCAAGACGUACACAGGAGGUGCCAAGGUUUGUGUUAGUGUUAAAAAUGCGUGUGUGGGGGGUUUCCAACUUCGUUUAAAAAGGCAAGUGACUUAAAGAAAGGGAUGGAAAGAUACCUGCAACCAAGAAGUGUAAAUGAAGCAGCUCUGCUAACCACAGCCUCCACCAACGCUGCCGAGCUGGCUGCAUGGCUGGUUGGUACUGGAGAGGUGCCAGCUGCACUCAGCCAAUACUCCACAGCCCACCUCUGCGUCACCGGAGGAAGAACCUCUGAAGCUGCCCUUCUUCCUGAUGACGACCCACCCUCCCUGGGUACCAGCCACAUAACUGCAGGCUCUGCUCCAAUCCCUGCCUUCGAGCCGGCCUCUGGCAUUGGAACACCAUCAGCCUCUGAAAAGCAGCCAGCAAAGCCUCCCAGUACCCUGCCUGGACCAUGAAGUCUGACCAGCCUAAGCAUUAUGCAAUAUGUGCUGCGAGGUUUCCUCCCUCCAACUGAAUCACAACAGAAAGUGUGAACAUGGCUUAACACCAAAAGGAGACCAGA